rnacentral:rRNA from 1 species
UUUAUGGAGAGUUUGAUCCUGGCUCAGGAUGAACGCUGGCGGCGUGCCUAAUACAUGCAAGUCGAGCGAACAGAUAAGGAGCUUGCUCCUUUGACGUUAGCGGCGGACGGGUGAGUAACACGUGGGUAACCUACCUAUAAGACUGGAAUAACUCCGGGAAACCGGGGCUAAUGCCGGAUAACAUGUUGAACCGCAUGGUUCUACAGUGAAAGACGGUCUUGCUGUCACUUAUAGAUGGACCCGCGCCGUAUUAGCUAGUUGGUGGGGUAACGGCCUACCAAGGCGACGAUACGUAGCCGACCUGAGAGGGUGAUCGGCCACACUGGAACUGAGACACGGUCCAGACUCCUACGGGAGGCAGCAGUAGGGAAUCUUCCGCAAUGGGCGAAAGCCUGACGGAGCAACGCCGCGUGAGUGAUGAAGGUCUUCGGAUCGUAAAGCUCUGUUGUUAGGGAAGAACAAAUGUGUAAGUAACUGUGCACAUCUUGACGGUACCUAACCAGAAAGCCACGGCUAACUACGUGCCAGCAGCCGCGGUAAUACGUAGGUGGCAAGCGUUAUCCGGAAUUAUUGGGCGUAAAGCGCGCGUAGGCGGUUUUUUAAGUCUGAUGUGAAAGCCCACGGCUCAACCGUGGAGGGUCAUUGGAAACUGGAAAACUUGAGUGCAGAAGAGGAAAGUGGAAUUCCAUGUGUAGCGGUGAAAUGCGCAGAGAUAUGGAGGAACACCAGUGGCGAAGGCGGCUUUCUGGUCUGCAACUGACGCUGAUGUGCGAAAGCGUGGGGAUCAAACAGGAUUAGAUACCCUGGUAGUCCACGCCGUAAACGAUGAGUGCUAAGUGUUAGGGGGUUUCCGCCCCUUAGUGCUGCAGCUAACGCAUUAAGCACUCCGCCUGGGGAGUACGGUCGCAAGACUGAAACUCAAAGGAAUUGACGGGGACCCGCACAAGCGGUGGAGCAUGUGGUUUAAUUCGAAGCAACGCGAAGAACCUUACCAAAUCUUGACAUCCUUUGACCGCUCUAGAGAUAGAGUUUUCCUCUUCGGAGGACAAAGUGACAGGUGGUGCAUGGUUGUCGUCAGCUCGUGUCGUGAGAUGUUGGGUUAAGUCC